UACGUAGGGGGCAAGCGUUGUCCGGAUUUAUUGGGCGUAAAGAGCGUGUAGGCGGUUUGGUAGGUCCGUUGUGAAAACUCGAGGCUCAACCUCGAGACGCCGAUGGAAACCAUCAGACUAGAGUCCGGAAGAGGAAAGUGGAAUUCCUGGUGUAGCGGUGAAAUGCGCAGAUAUCAGGAAGAACACCCGUGGCUAAGGCGGCUCUCUAGUACGGUACUGACGCUGAGACGCGAAAGCGUGGGGAGCGAACAGG
rnacentral:rRNA from 1 species